UCCCUGGCAGUCCAGUGGUUAAGAUGCCAUGCUUCUAAUGCAGGAUGGUGCAGGUUCAAACCCUGGUCAGGGAA
rnacentral:tRNA from 1 species